rnacentral:rRNA from 1 species
AGUAACGCGUGAGCAAUCUGCCUUUAAGGGGGGGAUAACAGUCGGAAACGGCUGCUAAUACCGCAUAAAGCAUCGAAACCGCAUGAUUUUGAUGCCAAAGGAGCAAUCCGCUUUUAGAUGAGCUCGCGUCUGAUUAGCUGGUUGGCGGGGUAACGGCCCACCAAGGCGACGAUCAGUAGCCGGACUGAGAGGUUGAACGGCCACAUUGGGACUGAGACACGGCCCAG